UGCAGUCGAGCGAAUGACGAGAAGCUUGCUUCUCUGAUUUAGCGGCGGACGGGUGAGUAACACGUGGGCAACCUGCCCUACAGAUCGGGAUAACUCAGGGAAACCUGGGCUAAUACCGGAUAAUCCUUCGAAUCACAUGGUUUGAAGUUGAAAGGCGCUUCGGCGUCACUGUAGGAUGGGCCCGCGGUGCAUUAGCUAGUUGGUGGGGUAACGGCCUACCAAGGCAACGAUGCAUAGCCGACCUGAGAGGGUGAUCGGCCACAUUGGGACUGAGACACGGCCCACACUCCUACGGGAGGCAGCAGUAGGGAAUCUUCCACAAUGGACGAAAGUCUGAUGGAGCAACGCCGCGUGAGUGAUGAAGGUUUUCGGAUCGUAAAACUCUGUUGUAAGGGAAGAACAAGUACGUUAGGAAAUGAACGUACCUUGACGGUACCUUAUUAGAAAGCCACGGCUAACUACGUGCCAGCAGCCGCGGUAAUACGUAGGUGGCAAGCGUUGUCCGGAUUUAUUGGGCGUAGAGCGCGCGCAGGUGGUUUCUUAAGUCUGAUGUGAAAGCCCACGGCUCAACCGUGGAGGGUCAUUGGAAACUGGGGAACUUGAGUGCAGAAGAGGAUAGUGGAAUUCCGAGUGUAGCGGUGAAAUGCGUAGAGAUUUGGAGGAACACCAGUGGCGAAGGCGACUGUCUGGUCUGUAACUGACACUGAGGCGCGAAAGCGUGGGGAGCACACAGGAUUAGAUACCCUGGUAGUCCACGCCGUAAACGAUGAGUGCUAAGUGUUAGGGGGUUUCCGCCCCUUAGUGCUGCAGCUAACGCAUUAAGCACUCCCGCGGGGGAGUACGACCGCAGGGUUGAAACUCAAAGGAAUUGACGGGGGCCCGCACAAGCCGUGGGAGCAUGUGGGUUUAAUUCGAAGCAACGCGAAGAAACCUUACCAGGUCUUGACAUCCGCAUGAACCGUCCUAGAAAAUAAGAAUUUUCCCUUCGGGGACAUUUGGUUAACAGGUGGUGGCAUGGGUUGUCCUCAGCUCCGUGUCGUGAGAAUGUUGUGUUUAAAUCCCCGCAACCAACCGCAACCCCUUUAUUCUUAAUUUGCCCUCCAUUUAGAUUGGGGCACUCUUAAGG
rnacentral:rRNA from 1 species